AUGGUAGCAAAAGGUCUAGGUUGGGAUGGUCACACAGUCAAGUAUGUUCUGCAACCCAAAGGCUAUGUUGAGUGGGGCAUCUCUAUAUUGAAUAACCACUCAUUUUGUUUGAAAGGAGAAGCGGAGAACACCGAUUACAUAUAUGGGGCCAUUUACUGCUCCCUCGGUGAAUAUGAAGUUUCAGAUUCGUUACUGAGGUCACUACUGGAAAGAUGGGACCCAGAAACAAAUACUUUUUUUUUCAUCUGGUGA
rnacentral:rRNA from 1 species